AUUAUUGAUUCAUCAAAAACAAGCUUGAAAGGAAAACUUGGAGACCUGGCAUAAAAAACUUUUCACACAAAACCUCAAUAAGAGUCUUCUACCUCCACUGCACAAAAAUCUGGGUUCAAUGAAACAAUUUGUUAAAGCUUUGUCUAAAGAUGGUGAUUGUUUUAAAUAUUUGUGUGAGACAUUUCUUCAUUUAUCAGAAGCAAGUGAGUGAAGAGCAAGGGAAAUUGUUUCAUCAGGACAUAAAAGAGAUGGAGAAGCGAUACCAGGGAUGGUGGUAUCAAAAUGAUGGGUGAUUACUGUUGGUUACUUCAUAGAGAACAACAAAACACAAUUCAUAGGUGAAAAAGCUACGCAAGAAAUUUUACAAAGAAAAGGGAGAGGAAAUAAAAAAAUAUAUAUAAUUUAAGCAUUUUAUAUUAUAAUUUAAGUAAUUGAAUAUGAUUGUAGGCGAAAAUAUAACCAAUUUAUAAAACUAU